UUUAUUCCAAAGCAUUCUCACUUACAGUGAUCUUCAUCUCUGUAGGAUCUGYCCAGCCUAAAAAAGUUUUCUUGGUGUAUUUAUAUUGAAUGUAAACUGGCGGAAGUAUGAAUACAGCUUCAGCAGUGCUUCCCUGUGGAGGAAUAUCCUGAGGCAGAAUCUGUACAAGCAGCACAUACAAA
rnacentral:lncRNA from 1 species